rnacentral:ncRNA from 1 species
GAAUUAGCAGGGAAUGAAGCCCCUGUUGAGCUUGACUCUAGUCUAGCAUGGUGAAGAGACAUGAGAACACUGCAAUAAGUAGAAGACCUGUGAUGCUCUCUGGUUCCCUGGGAGGGGUCAGGGUGAGGUCCACCAGCCUCACAGACUACAGUGAAAUGCUACUUCUCAUCAUUUUCCACUGACCCAGGGAGAUAGGGGUGGCUUGAGCCAUGAGUGGUUCUCACUUCUGGCACCAAGUGUCUGUCACACAUAUUGUAUGCUAUGGCCCAUUCUGGGAACAGUGCCAUGUUCAUAGUUUGACUAGGGAGUUACACUUGUCAAACAGUAAUGCAGGUGUCCUACAGCGAACUCACAGAUGACAGAAACUAUCCUUAAAGGCUGCUCUACCAUGAUUUUCAUUACACAUACCAACCAUGAAUGCAGGGCAUUAAAAUCCUUCUGAAUUUUUGGUUUUUAAGUAGGAAUUGUCAGAAAAGUGACCACAGGAAUAACUGCCUUCUGGAAGGAAAAUGUUCAGGUGACAUAGUUUUAUUGACCCUGCAAUGUCUGCUGUUCUUGUGAUUUUGAAGCAGGAUUCACCUAGGGUUGGAUUGUUGACCCAGUAAUAGGGAAUGUGAGCUGGAUUAGAACAUCAUGAGACAGAUUCGUUUUACCUACUGAUUAUGUGCAUUUUGCCUUUGAAUUCUGCUCAGUAUGAGAGGAACAAUAUGUUCAGACAUUUGGAGUGUAUGCUCCACUGAGAAGACAAUGAGCAAGACUACCACUUGUAGAAUUAUGACUUAAGGCCCCUAAGUUGAUAUUCCACCGAUGCAGGGCUGUAAAAUGGAGCCAAAGACCCUCAGUUAGCCCUGGAUAGCCAGGUCUGGUCUAUACCUGCUGGAGGUGCCAUCGCAUUCCCACAAAGUGGUGGGUCCCUGUUGUGUUGGGGCACAGGUGUCCAGUGUGGAAAGACACUCAUCCUCUGAAACAUCGUGUGCUAGAAAGGAGACAGACCUUUCAUCCAUCAUGCUAAUGUGUGUGUAGAAUCUGGAGCUAAAUCAUUCCAAGAUGACCUGCUUCUGUGACGGGGAUUCAUAUAUAGCAGAACAGUUCGCUUACUUUGUCUCUUGAAAGUCAAUCGUCAACACAAGGUUU